UUUCUACUCAUAUUUAUAAAUAAUUCUUGAAAAACCAUGGUUAAUCUCAAUUUUUUAAACCUUUUUAAGUGAUGAAUUGGCACAACACGAGAGUUAUUUUGUCAACUUGGUCGCUAAACAGUUUUCUGCUUAUGAGGAGGGAUUGAAGCCUUUUGUGUCUGUAUCGAGAAAUAUGUUGAGAACUUGAAGAGUUUUAGUAGAGGGUAAUAUAUACAUAUAUAGAUUUUUGUCUUGAAUUUUACAUUUUUUUAUAAAGCUUGAAAAUAAUGUGUUUGGUUUUCAAAUUUCAUGUAAGAAAGAAUAUACCCUAAUCAAAUAACUAUUUUAAAAUAUUGAAAAGUUGAGGGUAAAGUUUGACUUAAUUGAAAGGCCAAAUCUUUAAAUGUAGAAUCCUAAACUUUUUUAACCAACCCGACCCGAAACAUGUUCCGACCUGGACCCAUCUCAACCCGACCCGUUCCGAUCGAAGACCAUUCCAACCUGAAGCAAAACAACCCUUUUUUAAUCGACCUGUUCCAACCCAAACCCGUUUUGACAUGAACCCGUUUUGACCUGUCACAUGACCCACCCGCAUUGCCAUGAGGACCAGUGUUAUUACUUGUUACAAACUAAAGGGCCAGAUCACCAUGCACAACAUGUCAAUACAUCAGCUGUAAUAUUUUUCAACUUAGCAGUAAUAUUUUUCAGCCACAGUAGAGUAUAUUAGCAACAGCAGCUGUCCUUUGUCGUUAACAUCUUCACUACGAAGUGUUUAAUUAUUGGAGUAUAAAAUAAUAUUAGUAUCUUCUUAUUUUAGUUGUUAACAUUGGAUUUAGUUCUUCUGUUGUUUUGUUUGUACUACUGUGAUGGUUUUACAUGUUUGUACUGUUGAACUUUUGUUUCAGAAGCUCAGUAUAUCUAUCUGAAAUCUUCAUUGUUUAAUGUCGUACUGGUAUUAGUUGUUCUAAAACUAGAGUUGAGUUGUUAAGGACUUUCUGUUAAUGAUACUAGUGAGAUAGGAAGCGAUUUCUUGCUACUUUAAAGUGUGUGGUAGACUGGUAGUAUAUUGUGGAAAUGGCAACUGUUGUGUAGUUCUACUUUAAACUGUUUGUGGUAGUAUAAUGUGGAAAUUCCAAGGUAAUAUGUUGGUUUUUUUGUCAAAGCAUUAGGUGUUUAGGAUUUGUUAGGUGUUAGGGUCAUUUUAUUAUAUAUGUUUUUUUCUUUUGAAUCAAGAACAAUGAGUUUUAUAAAUUAAAGAACUUAUAGACCUUUUUGAAUCAAUACUAAUGUUUGUUUAUAUGGCUGAUGAUGGCAGGGUAGAUAUCAUGAGAAGCAUAAGAAGCUUUGGAGCUAAGUUUUAUGAUAAUGAAAUUCUCACCAAAAGAACGUUUAGAUACUUUUAGAUACUUUGUUUAGACAUUUGAAAUUUGGAAUAUCUUACUUGCUACACAAUGUUUUGCUAACAUUUGGCAAAUGUUUUGGAUCAUACUUAUUGAAAUUAUAAUAUUUGAUU
rnacentral:lncRNA from 1 species